AGAGUUUGAUCCUGGCUCAGGAUGAACUCUAGCUACAGGCUUAACACAUGCAAGUCGAGGGGCAGCAUGGUCUUAGCUUGCUAAGGCCGAUGGCGACCGGCGCACGGGUGAGUAACGCGUAUCCAACCUGCCUUACACUCUUGGACAGCCUUCUGAAAGGGAGAUUAAUACAAGAUGUUAUCAUGAGUAAGCAUUUUCGCAUGAUUAAAGGUUUACCGGUGUAAGAUGGGGAUGCGUUCCAUUAGAUAGUAGGCGGGGUAACGGCCCACCUAGUCUUCGAUGGAUAGGGGUUCUGAGAGGAAGGUCCCCCACAUUGGAACUGAGACACGGUCCAAACUCCUACGGGAGGCAGCAGUGAGGAAUAUUGGUCAAUGGACGAGAGUCUGAACCAGCCAAGUAGCGUGAAGGAUGAAGGUUCUAUGGAUUGUAAACUUCUUUUAUACGGGAAUAAACGGAUCCACGUGUGGAUUUUUGCAUGUACCGUAUGAAUAAGGAUCGGCUAACUCCGUGCCAGCAGCCGCGGUAAUACGGAGGAUCCGAGCGUUAUCCGGAUUUAUUGGGUUUAAAGGGAGCGUAGAUGGGUUGUUAAGUCAGUUGUGAAAGUUUGCGGCUCAACCGUAAAAUUGCAAUUGAUACUGGCAGUCUUGAGUACAGUUGAGGUAGGCGGAAUUCGUGGUGUAGCGGUGAAAUGCUUAGAUAUCACGAAGAACUCCGAUUGCGAAGGCAGCUUACUAACCUGUAACUGACAUUGAUGCUCGAAAGUGUGGGUAUCAAACAGGAUUAGAUACCCUGGUAGUCCACGCAGUAAACGAUGAAUACUCGCGGUAGGCGAUAUACAGUCUGCGGCCAAGCGAAAGCAUUAAGUAUUCCACCUGGGGAGUACGCCGGCAACGGUGAAACUCAAAGGAAUUGACGGGGGGCCCGCACAAGCGGAGGAACAUGUGGUUUAAUUCGAUGAUACGCGAGGAACCUUACCCGGGCUUAAAUUGCAACCGAAUAUGGCGGAAACGCUAUAGCUAGCAAUAGCGGUUGUGAAGGUGCUGCAUGGUUGUCGUCAGCUCGUGCCGUGAGGUGUCGGCUUAAGUGCCAUAACGAGCGCAACCCUUGCCGAUAGUUACUAACAGGUCAUGCUGAGGACUCUGUCGGGACUGCCAUCGUAAGAUGUGAGGAAGGUGGGGAUGACGUCAAAUCAGCACGGCCCUUACGUCCGGGGCUACACACGUGUUACAAUGGGGGGUACAGAGGGCUGCUACCACGCAAGUGGAUGCCAAUCCCAAAAACCUCUCUCAGUUCGGAUUGAAGUCUGCAACCCGACUUCAUGAAGCUGGAUUCGCUAGUAAUCGCGCAUCAGCCACGGCGCGGUGAAUACGUUCCCGGGCCUUGUACACAACGCCCGUCA
rnacentral:rRNA from 1 species